rnacentral:rRNA from 1 species
AGAGUUUGAUCCUGACUCAGGAUGAACGCUAGCUACGAGGCUUAACACAUGCAAGUCGAGGGGCAGCAUUUUAGUUUGCUUGCAAACUGAAGAUGGCGACCGGCGCACGGGUGAGUAACACGUAUCCAACCUGCCGAUAACUCCGGAAUAGCCUUUCGAAAGAAAGAUUAAUACCGGAUAGCAUACGAAUAUCGCAUGAUAUUUUUAUUAAAGAAUUUCGGUUAUCGAUGGGGAUGCGUUCCAUUAGUUUGUUGGG